rnacentral:tRNA from 1 species
GGGAAUGUGGCUUAGUGGUAGAGUACUUGCCUAGCAUGCAUGAAGCCCUGGGUUCAAUUCCUCAGUGUCACCU